CCUAGAACUUGUGUUUGUUUGCCAUUAGCGCCAGUAAACGUAUAAAAGAAGAAGAAACGGGUUCACAGAUCUUCACAUUCGGCCAGAGAAAGGGGCUGCCUGUGGCCUUCAUUAUGAAAGGCCCGUCUGGACCGGAGCAUUCACCCAGGAAUCACAUCUAGUGCUGAACUUUCUCAAGUGUAUCAUCCGCUGCCCAUCCUCCACCACUUUUUUUUUUUUUUUUUUUUUACGUUUUUAACUAUUUAAGAAUUACUUUUAUCCAUCUGUAUUUAUAUUUUACUUAUUUUUAUUGAAGAUUUUAUCUCCUCACUGCCCAUCCCCCUCCACCACUUUUUUUUUUUUAAACAUCUGUUUUUAACUAUAUUAUUAUGUGGGCUUCACAUUUUUAACUAUUUAAGAAAAUUUUAAAGUUUUAGAACUUUUUUUUUUUUUUAUUGGUUUUAUGGUUUAACUUUUCUUUUAAUCAACACUUUGUUUCUGAUUCACUUUUUUUUUUUCUUUUUUUUUUUACUGUUUUUUAUAACUCAUAUUAUGUGGGCUUCACACUGGGAAAUGGGCUAUGCCUACACUACCCAGAAUUCCUUGAGAUGGUAUAAAAUGGAGAACAGGACACUUCUUAAGCUCUCAAUAUAUCUUCAGAGAUAAAACAAGCAGAGAUUGACGAGACGUACCUGGACAUUUGAACAUGAGAACUGGGAGACUCCAGCGGAGAGGCUUAUUCCUGUGAAGGAGUUUCCUGGAAUCAACUUUGUGAUGAAGAUUCUGGGGCUGCAGAUCAGGAUCAUUGAGGACGACACGGGGGUGAAUUUCAGGAUCCAUGAAGGACGAGAUCAUGGUAAUGAACCAGCACUAUGGUCAGAGGACAGGACUGGACGUGGCACGCUCCAAGAUAACACAUCUAGUGACAAACUGAAUGUUGAACCUGUAACAGUGUUGAGGCUCUUGACUGCAGUGUGUGAGCAUGACCUCUCUAGCCUUUCAGUAUUGAUCAGAUUCACUUGAGUUUCUGAUUCUCUUUCAGAUCUUCUGCUGUUCAAAUGAUUCACUUGAGUUUCUGAUUCUCUUUCAGAUCUUCUGCUGUUCAAAUGAUUCACUUGAGUUUCUGAUUCUCUUUCAGAUCUUCUGCUGUUCAAAUGAUUCACUUGAGUUUCUGAUUCUCUUUCAGAUCUUCUCCUCGCUGCUCGUCCUCCUUCACCACCUCUUUCACUGUCACUGUUUUACAACUUCUAUGUGGCGUUUAUUUAUUCUAAUUUAACAAUUACUUUUUAUUGUAUUUUACUACUUGUUCAUCUUUAGUAUGUAUUAUGUCAGUUUAAGAAAUGUCAGUGUUCCAGUUUGAGACUGUUUUAAUGUUUUAUUCUCUUCAACACUCUUGAUUCGCUGCUUGUAAAUAAAGCUCAUCUUGG